GCCUCGUUAGCUCAGUGGUUAGAGCACUGGUCUCGUAAACCAGGGGUCGAGAGUUCAAAUCUCUCAUGGGGCU
rnacentral:tRNA from 1 species